ensembl:lincRNA
GGAGAGUGGGUGACAUGGGGCUGGGUUGCUGGCGUGGGUCAAGAGCACACAAAGGUGCCAGCUGAAAGGUGCGGUAUAUGGUGCUGUUAGGCUGGUCUCCGCUCCCCAACCUUCUGGAGAGGACAAAACAGGACAUAAUGCGUAGACCUCUGAGUUCAUUGUGCCAUAUUCCAAUAGCACCAAAGUCCUGUCGGUGGGAACCUGGAUGCAGCAGAUACGUGUUCGGUUGGUGGUUUCCAACUAGAAGCCUACAUCCCUGGUGGCCAGGCAGUGCCCACGCUUGAUGUGGGUCCUUCAGUUGCCAACAACUUCCCAAGCCAUUCCUUAGCUUGUGACUACCUUUGAACACCACACCUUUGAUUCUCUCUUUGCUGCGUAAGGGGCAAGUACUACAGCCAGGUGAAAUUACCCAAGUACUGGGCUAAAGGUCUUCUGAUUCACGGAUGUAGCUUGAUUUUCCUUUUCCUGUACUGAUUCUGUCUUGAAAAGGGUCAGUGUAUCUUUAUCUUGCUUGUGUGAGAGAGGCAUAAAAAUAGAGCUGCCGAAA